UACGUAGGUGGCAAGCGUUAUCCGGAUUUAUUGGGCGUAAAGGGAACGCAGGCGGUCUUUUAAGUCUGAUGUGAAAGCCUUCGGCUUAACCGGAGUAGUGCAUUGGAAACUGGGAGACUUGAGUGCAGAAGAGGGGAGUGGAACUCCUAGUGUAGCGGUGAAAUGCGUAGAUAUUAGGAGGAACACCAGUUGCGAAGGCGGCUCUCUGGACUGUAACUGACACUGAGGCACGAAAGCGUGGGGAGCAAACAGG
rnacentral:rRNA from 1 species